UCAGAUACAGACAUGGAGCAAAGUAGCAGAUUACUGCCCAGGUCUGAAUGAUGACAGGCACUUCAGUCUUGCUUCGAAGCAAAUUGGAGACAAGACAUGAAGGUCUAAUGGGAGAUGAGUAAAUCAUGGUGGCCCUGACCCUGCCAUUACUUUGAAGGGAUUGAUUAUCAUUUUCUGAAGUUCCUGCUUCCAGGUUCCUGCUUGGAGUUCCUGCCCUGACUUCCUUCCAUGAUGGACAAUGAUCUAGACAUUUUACUUCCAUGAGACCUGGGAAAAACAACAACAGAACAAAAGCAGCAAAUGCAGUAUCAGGAUAAAGAGUUUCUUAAAGUCUGAAAGUUAUGAAAAUCAAAACAAAACAAAACAGAAAAAUCUAAAGUGAAGCCCACCAUUCAAAACCUACCAACAAGAUGUUUGUGUGGGGAUAUGUGUUUCACCAGACACUGAGGACAUCAAUAGGGCUCAGUGUCCCAUGGUAACUGUGCAAGUUUGUAAGACUCUUUAGUUGGCCCUAUUACAACUGUGUGAGUAAAAAUAUUAUUUUUAUAGUGCCUGCAUGAUAAAACACG